rnacentral:rRNA from 1 species
CGAACGCUGGCGGCGUGCCUAAUACAUGCAAGUGGGACGCAAGAGGACACACUGUGCUUGCACACCGUGUUUUCUUGAGUCGCGAACGGGUGAGUAACGCGUAGGUAACCUGCCUAUUAGCGGGGGAUAACUAUUGGAAACGAUAGCUAAUACCGCAUAAUAUUAAUUAUUGCAUGAUAAUUGAUUGAAAGAUGCAAGCGCAUCACUAGUAGAUGGACCUGCGUUGUAUUAGCUAGUUGGUAAGGUAAGAGCUUACCAAGGCGACGAUACAUAGCCGACCUGAGAGGGUGAUCGGCCACACUGGGACUGAGACACGGCCCAGACUCCUACGGGAGGCAGCAGUAGGGAAUCUUCGGCAAUGGACGAAAGUCUGACCGAGCAACGCCGCGUGAGUGAAGAAGGUUUUCGGAUCGUAAAGCUCUGUUGUAAGUCAAGAACGUGUGUGAGAGGGAAAGUUCACAC